ensembl:processed_transcript
ACAAACAAGCCUGCAUGACAACCCAUUACUGCAGUGGAAAUUUAACAAGAGAAAAUGGAACACCUAGUUGAGAGUCCGUCAUUCUUCCCAUUAGGACCCAGUGGAGACAUCAACCCGAUGUCGCGUCCUGUCUUGGUUGAGAGUCGAAGAGUGUUUACGCAUGGAUGGCAGCUACACAGAAGAGCAGAAUCAGGCAGUUUUCUUGGAUGAAAGGAAGUGACUGUGACUAACAGCCAUCUGGAUGCUGUUGUUUGGUGUGAAAGCAGAGGGCUUCGUUUGGUUUGUGCUUGUGCGACUGGCCACUCGCACGCUGAUGGAUUUCUGAUGGGAGGGAGAUCGAAAUGGCAUAUAGCGGUGGCUAAGAUAAUUAAAACACUUCUUUAAAAGACGGCCUAUGGCAUAAAAUAUUAUGGAACAUGUUAUAAAAAAAAAAAUAACUAAAUAUUUGGUGUCCCCAGAAUGUGUCUGUGAAAUUUAAGCUCAAGAUACCCCACAGAUCAUAUCUUGUAAAAUUUGCACCUAUUCAGGUGUAAGCAAUGACAUUCUGUUUUGUUUGUGUCCCUUUUAAAUGCAAAUGAGCUGCUAAGAGGAAGCAAUUACAAGCAGUGUUGCCAUUGAAAGCAUGUAACUAGGUGCUUAUAAUGUAAAAGUGUCCUUAAAAAAAAUAAUCAUCCAUCAAACAGCAAAGAAAGCAAACCCUGCCUGGGAAAAUAAUUUUUUGUUAGCCUAGUAUAUUAAUUUCGGUUCCUUUUUAACUGAUGAUUUGUUUUAAGGAGAUGUGGGAACACAGCUGCUAGAAUAAACCACAACUUUUUCUAAAUGGUUAAUUGACACUUAAGUUGUUCUCUUUUUCCAAUGUACUUUUGCAAAUAAACAUUGCUUAAUCAG